UAGGGAAUCUUCCACAAUGGACGAAAGUCUGAUGGAGCAACGCCGCGUGAGUGAAGAAGGGUUUCGGCUGUAAAACUCUGUUGUUAAAGAAGAACAUAUCUGAGAGUAACUGUUCAGGUAUUGACGGUAUUUAACCAGAAAGCCACGGCUAACUACGUGCUAG
rnacentral:rRNA from 1 species